rnacentral:rRNA from 1 species
AUCCCUUGACAUCCUGCGAACUUUCCAGAGAUGGAUUGGUGCCUGCUUGCAGGAGCUUUCAUACAGGUGCUGCACGGCUGUCGUCAGCUCGUGUCGUGAGAUGUUGGGUUAAGUCCCGCAACGAGCGCAACCCUCGUCGUUAGUUGCUAACAGUUCGGCUGAGAACUCUAACGAGACUGCCUACGCAAGUAGGAGGAAGGUGAGGACGACGUCAAGUCAUCAUGGCCCUUACGACCAGGGCUACACACGUGCUACAAUGGGGUAUACAAAGAGCAGCAAUACGGUGACGUGGAGCGAAUCUCAAAAAUGCCUCCCAGUUCGGAUUGUAGUCUGCAACUCGACUACAUGAAGUUGGAAUCGCUAGUAAUCGUAGAUCAGCUAUGCUACGGUGAAUACGUUCCCGGGUCU